rnacentral:rRNA from 1 species
UAGGGAAUCUUCGGCAAUGGGGGGAACCCUGACCGAGCAACGCCGCGUGAGUGAAGAAGGUUUUCGGAUCGUAAAGCUCUGUUGUUAAGGAAGAACGAGUGUGAGAAUGGAAAGUUCAUGCUGUGACGGUACUUAACCAGAAAGGGACGGCUAACUACGUGCCAGCAGCCGCGGUAAUACGUAGGUCCCGAGCGUUGUCCGGAUUUAUUGGGCGUAAAGCGCGCGCAGGCGGUCACUUAAGUCCAUCUUAGAAGUGCGGGGCUUAACCCCGUGAUGGGAUGGAAACUGGGAGACUGGAGUAUCGGAGAGGAAAGUGGAAUUCCUAGUGUAGCGGUGAAAUGCGUAGAUAUUAGGAAGAACACCGGUGGCGAAGGCGACUUUCUGGACGAAAACUGACGCUGAGGCGCGAAAGCGUGGGGAGCAAACAGG